GAUGAACGCUAGCGGCAGGCCUAAUACAUGCAAGACGAACGGCAAGAUUUUUAGCAAUAAAGAUCCUAGAGUGUCGUAAGGGUGCGUAACACGUAUGCAAUCUGCCCUCAACAGGAGGAUAGCUCCCCGAAAGGGGAAUUAACACUCCAUAAGAUCAUGGUGCGGCAUCGCACAGUGAUUAAAACUACGGUGGUUGAGGAUGAGCAUGCGCAUGAUUAGUUAGUUGGCGGGGUAAUGGCCCACCAAGACGAUGAUCAUUAGGGGAACUGAGAGGUUGAUCCCCCACACUGGCACUGAGAUACGGGCCAGACUCCUACGGGAGGCAGCAGUAGGGAAUAUUGGACAAUGGGUGCGAGCCUGAUCCAGCCAUGCCGCGUGCAGGAAGACGGCCUUCUGGGUUGUAAACUGCUUUUGCCAGGGGAUAAAACGUCCAUGCGUGGAUAAU
rnacentral:rRNA from 1 species